rnacentral:rRNA from 1 species
AUGGCUUCCUCGCGUGCGGCUGCGAUCGUCUUCUCGUUCCUGGUCUUGGCGGUGGCGGCGCCCUCGCCUCUCGUCAGAGCCAGAAUGAUGCCGGGCGAUGGCGACGCAGUGCCCACCGGACGGAUCGCGGCGCCCGAGGUUGACGGGUCAGUCGGAGCAGCGUCGUCUCUGCAAGAAGCGCUCGUUCAGAGGCCCCCGCUGCCGCUGCCGCUGGCCCAGCUGAUGUCGCCGCCGACGAUGGCCGUCUUCGCGCAGCGCAGCAGUAGGAUGCUCGGAUCGGUGCCGAGCCCGGGCGUUGGCCACUAG